rnacentral:rRNA from 1 species
AUGAGUAUGAUCCUGGCUCAGGAUGAACGCUAGCGACAGGCACUAACACAUGCAAGUCGAGGGGUAACAGGGGCUUCGGCCCCGCUGACAACCGGCGCACGGGUGAGUAACGCGUAUGCCCGCUGCCUGUAAGGAUAGCUCCCUGAAAGGGGAAUUAACACCGCAUAAGACCACGCUCUCGCAUGGGGACGGGGUAAAAUAUUUAUAGGUUGACAGAUGGGCAUGCGUGACAUUAGCUUAGUUGGUGAGGUAACGGCUCACAGCGAUGUCUAGGGGUUCUGAGAGGAAGGUCCCCCACACUGGAACUGAGACACGGAUCCAGACUCCUACGGGAGGCAGCAGUGAGGAAUAUUGGUCAAUGGACGCAAGUCUGAACCAGCCAUGUCGCGUGCAGGACGACUAUCUUAUGGGUUGUAAACUGCUUUUAUAUUGGAAGAAUUGCGCUUACGAGUUAAGCGUUUGACGGUACAUUAUGAAUAAGGAUCGGCGUUCUCCGUGCCAGCAGCCGCGGUAAUACGGAGGAUCCGAGCGUUAUCCGGAUUUAUUGGGGUGCGUAGGCGGAAAUGUAAGUCAGUGGUCAGAAAUCCUGCAGCUUAACUGUAGAAUAGCCGUUGAAACUGUGUAUUCUUGAGUACAUUUGAGGUAGGUCGGAAUGUGGUGUGUAGCGGUGAAAUGCAUAGAUAAUACCACAGAACACCGAUUGCGAAGGCAGCUUACUAAACGUGUCACUGACGCUGAUGCACGACAGCGUGGGUAUCAAACAGGAUUAGAUACCCUGGUAGUCCACGCUGUAAACGAUGAUUACUGGUUGUUUGCGAUACACUGCAAGUGACUGAGCGAAAGCAUUAAGUACCUGGCCGGAGUACGUCGGCAACGAUGAAACUUCAAAGGAAUUGACGGGGGCCCGCACAAGCGGAGGAACAUGUGGUUUAAUUCGAUGAUACGCGAGGAACCUUACCUGGGUUUAAAUGGGGAGUGACAAGGCUUGGAUAACAGGCCCUGUCGGACACUCUUCAAGCACGCUGCAUGGUUGUCGUCAGCUCGUGCCGUGAGGUAUCGGGUUAAGUCCCAUAACGAGCGCAACCCCUAUCGAUAGUUACCAGCACGUUACGGUGGGGACUCUAUCGAGACUGCCGGUGUAAACCGUGAGGACCGUCAUGACGUCAAAUCAGCACGGCCCUUACAUCCAGGGCUACACACGUGUUAUCAAUGGCCGGUACAAAGGGCAGCUACACAGCGAUGUGAUGCUAAUCUCCAUUCCGGUCUCAGUUCGGAUCGAAGUCUGCAACCGGACUUCGUGAGGCUGGAUUCGCUAGUAAUCCGCGCAUCAGCCAUGGUCGCGGUGAAUACGGUCACGGGCCUUGUACACAUCGCCCGUCAAGCCAUGGAAGACGGGCCUACCUGAAGUAUGUAACCGUAAGGAGCGUACUAGUGUAAAACUGGUGAACUGGGCUAAGUCGUAACAAGGUUACUGUA